rnacentral:rRNA from 1 species
UCAAGUGACUAAGUGCAUGUGGCGGAUGCCUUGGCGAUCACAGGCGAAGAAAGACGCGGCAGCCUGCGAAAAGCUGCGGGGAGCUGGCAAACGAGCUUUGAUCCGCAGAUAUCUGAAUGGGGGAACCCACACCGCAAGGUGUAUCCGUGACUGAAUACAUAGGUUACGGAGGCGAACGAGGAGAACUGAAACAUCUAAGUAUCCUCAGGAAAAGAAAUCAACCGAGAUUCCGGCAGUAGCGGCGAGCGAACCCGGAGGAGCCUAGCUUUUGAUAGUACGAACUUUAGCCGAAAGGUCCUGGAAAGGCCUGCUAUAGUGGGUGAUAGCCCCGUAGGCGAAAGAGUUCGUAUGGUACUAAGGAAGCGAGAAGUAGAGCGGGACACGUGGAAUCCUGUUCGAAGAUGGGGGGACCAUCCUCCAAGGCUAAAUACUCGUGAUCGACCGAUAGUGAACCAGUACCGUGAGGGAAAGGCGAAAAGAACCCCGGGAGGGGAGUGAAAUAGAACCUGAAACCGCAUGCAUACAAACAGUAGGAGCCUCGUCAGAGGUGACUGCGUACCUUUUGCAUAAUGGGUCAGCGACUUACAUUCUGUGGCGAGCUUAACCGAAUAGGGGAGGCGCAGCGAAAGCGAGUUCGAAAUGAGCGUCCAGUCGCAGGGUGUAGACCCGAAACCAGAUGAGCUAUCCAUGGCCAGGUUGAAGGUGUGGUAACACACACUGGAGGACCGAACCGACUAGUGUUGCAAAAUUAGCGGAUGAGCUGUGGAUAGGGGUGAAAGGCCAAACAAAUCUGGAGAUAGCUGGUUCUCCCCGAAAACUAUUGAGGUAGUGCCUCGUGUGUCGCUCCAGGGGGUAGAGCACUGUUUUGGCUAGGGGGACAUGGAGUCUUACCAAACCAAGGCAAACUCCGAAUACCUGGAAGCGUGAGCACGGGAGACAGAGCACCGGGUGCUAACGUCCGGACUCAAAAGGGAAACAACCCAGACCGCCGGCUAAGGUCCCCAAUAACAGCUAAGUGGAAAACGAAGUGGAAAGGCCGUGACAACCAGGAAGUUGGCUUAGAAGCAGCCAUCCUUCAAAGAAAGCGUAAUAGCUCACUGGUCGAGUCCUUCUGCGCGGAAGAUGUAACGGGGCUAAGCUGUUAACCGAAGCCGCGGAUGCACUGAUUAUUCAGUGCGUGGUAGGGGAGCGUUCUGUAAGUCUGCGAAGGCGGUUCGAGAGGACUGCUGGAGAUAUCAGAAGUGCGAAUGCUGACAUGAGUAACGUUAAAGCAGGUGAAAAGCCUGCUCGCCGUAAGCCCAAGGAUUCCUGCUCUACGUUCAUCGGAGCAGGGUGAGUCGGCUCCUAAGGUCAGGCCGAAAGGCGUAGCCGAUGGGAAUCAGGUUAAUAUUCCUGAACCUGCGUCAGAUGCGAUGGGGGGACGGAGCAUGAAAGAUCAUCCGGGUGUUGGAUGUCCCGGUUGACGAGCGUAGGAGGUCUGCAGGCAAAUCCGCAGACGCAUCUCCAAGGCGAAGUCACGUGCCGCCACGGCGGCGAAGUGAUCGGAAGUGCUUCCAAGAAAAGCCUCUAAGCACCAGUCUGGCGCGGACCGUACCGCAAACCGACACUGGUGGGCGAGCUGAAUAUGCUCAGGCGCUUGAGAGAACUCGGGAGAAGGAACUCGGCAAAUUGACACCGUAACUUCGGGAUAAGGUGUGCCUUUGUAGUGUGAAGGGAGAAACACCCCGAGCAUGAAGAGGCCUCAGAGAAUCGGUGGCUGCAACUGUUUACUAAAAACACAGCACUCUGCAAAGAUGAAAGUCGACGUAUAGGGUGUGAUGCCUGCCCGGUGCUGGAAGAUUAAUUGAUGGGGUGCAAGCUCCUGAUCGAAGUCCCAGUAAACGGCGGCCGUAACUAUAACGGUCCUAAGGUAGCGAAAUUCCUUGUC